GAGGGCCCGAGCGUUAUCCGGAUUUAUUGGGGCGUAAAGAGUGCGUAGGCGGCUUGGUGUGUCAACGGUCAAAUCUAUCUGCUUAACAGAUAAACUGCCGUUGAAACUAUCAGGCUAGAGGCUGGAAGAGGCAAUCGGAAUUGCCGGUGUAGCGGUUAAAUGCGUUAAUAUCGGCAGGAACACCAAAUGCGUAGGCAGAUUGCUAGUACAGUCCUGACGCUGUUGCACGAAAGCGUGGGGAGCGAAGCGGAUUAGAUACCCGCGUAGUCCACGCCGUAAACGAUGGAUACUAGGCAUUGGGAGUAUCGACCCUCUCAGUGUCGUCCAAACAAGCUAACGCGUUAAGUAUCCCGCCUGGGGAGUACGGCCGCAAGGCUA
rnacentral:rRNA from 1 species